CCCUAGGGUGGGGCUCUGGGUCCGGGCCUGUUAUGUACCUUUGCCUUGGGAAUCCGGAAUAGAGCGUGUGCCUGCUAAGUGCAAGGGCGGUCAAAAGCUGGGAGGGACCCUCAGCAGGUUUGGUGACACAAGUGCAGUUUUCAAAGAUCUUGACCGUUGGAAGAAACGGCUCGGAAGAAACCGUGCCUUUUUUGUGAGGAGGCGGUUCAUGAGGACAGAUGGGUUGCCGUACUCUUUAGCGGAAAUGUUCAAGUGGGGACAUACAGGGUGAGGAAGCCUUGGCUGUACGUAGGCUUGAGAAAAUGUAGCAAAACGUCACCUGCCACCAUUUCACCGUGGUCGCCCUGUCUUCUGCCAUGAAAGUACGUGCCAGACAGAAAGGAUCCGUAGCGGUCUGCAAGUACAAAGUACAUCUCUGAUCCGUGCGUGCAUUUUCCCUAAGGAGCACUGAAAACCGUUACUGAGACACUAGCGUCUGUACUGAAAGCAGUCGAGGUCAAAGAAGAGACGUGGAGAAAAAGGGACAAAUGGGCUUCUGUGUGUU